GAUGAACGCUGGCGGCGUGCCUAAUACAUGCAAGUCGAGCGAACAGACGAGGCUCUUGCUCCUCUGACGUUAGCGGCGGACGGGUGAGUAACACGUGGAUACCCUACCUAUAAGAGUGGGAUAACUUCGGGAAACCGGAGCUAAUCCCGGAUAAUAUAUUGAACCGCAUGGUUCAAUAGUGAAAUACGGUUUUGCUGUCACUUAUAGAUGGAUCUGCGCCGCAUUAGCUAGUUGGUAAGGUAACGGCUUAUCAAGGCUACGAGGCGUAGCCGACCUGAGAGAGUGAUCGGCCACACGAGAACUGAAACACCGUCCAGACUCCUGCGAGAGGCAGCAGUAGGGUAUGGUACGCAGUGGGCGAAAGCUUGACGGAGCAACGCCGCGCGAGUGAUGAAGGUGUUCGGAUCGUAAAACUCUGUUAUGAGGGAAGAACAAAUGUGUAAGUAACUAUGCACGUCUUGACGGUACCUAAUAAGAAAGCCACGGCUAACUACGUG
rnacentral:rRNA from 1 species